UACAGAGGGGGCAAGCGUUGUUCGGAAUUACUGGGCGUAAAGGGCGCGUAGGUGGCCUGUUAAGUCGAACGUGAAAUCCCCGGGCUCAACCCGGGAACUGCGUCCGAGACUGAUAGGCUCGAAUCCGGGAGAGGGAUGUGGAAUUCCAGGUGUAGCGGUGAAAUGCGUAGAUAUCUGGAGGAACACCGGUGGCGAAGGCGACAUCCUGGACCGGUAUUGACGCUGAGGCGCGAAAGCCAGGGGAGCAAACGGG
rnacentral:rRNA from 1 species